AUGAGUCUACCGCUUACAAGAAAAGAUCUCAUGAUAGUCAAUAUGGGCCCUCAACACCCAUCAAUGCAUGGUGUUCUUCGACUGAUCGUUACUCUCGAUGGUGAGGAUGUUAUUGAUUGUGAACCCAUAUUAGGCUAUUUACACAGAGGAAUGGAAAAAAUCACGGAAAACCGAACUAUUAUACAAUACUUACCUUAUGUAACAAGGUGGGAUUAUUUAGCUACUAUGUUUACAGAAGCAAUAACAGUAAAUGCACCAGAAUUCUUGGAGAAUAUUCAAAUACCACAAAGAGCCAGCUAUAUUAGGGUAAUUAUGUUAGAAUUAAGCCGGAUAGCUUCUCACUUGCUAUGGCUUAGACCUUUUAUGGCGGAUCUCGGCGCACAGACUCCUUUUCUCUAUAUUUUUAGAGAGAGUGAAUUAAUAUAUGAUCUAUUUGAAGCUGCUACAUGUAUGAGAAUGAUGCACAAUUACUUUCGCAUCGGAGGAGUAGCCGCCGAUCUACCUUAUGGAUGGAUCGAUAAAUGUUUAGAUUUCUGUGAUUAUUUUUUACGCGGAGUUGUUGAAUAUCAACAACUUAUUACACAGAAUCCAAUUUUUUUAGAGCGAGUUGAAGGAGUAGGUUUUAUUAGCGGAGAAGAAGCAGUAAAUUGGGGCUUAUCGGGACCGAUGUUACGAGCUUCUGGAAUACAAUGGGAUCUUCGUAAAGUAGAUCCUUAUGAGUCUUACAACCAAUUUGAUUGGAAAGUCCAAUGGCAAAAAGAAGGGGAUUCAUUAGCUCGCUAUUUAGUAUGAAUUGGUGAAAUGAGGGAAUCCAUCAAAAUAGAACUGGUGGAGCGGUGA
rnacentral:rRNA from 1 species